UACGAAGGGCCCAAGCGUUAUCCGGAUUUAUUGGGCUUAAAGGGUGCGUAGGCGGGUUAUUAAGUCAGUGGUGAAAGCCUUCAGCUCAACUGAAGAAUUGCCAUUGAUACUGAUGAUCUUGAGUAUGAUUGAGGUGGGCGGAAUGUGUCAUGUAGCGGUGAAAUGCUUAGAUAUGACACAGAACACCGAUUGCGAAGGCAGCUCACUAAGUCAUAACUGACGCUGAUGCACGAAAGCGUGGGGAGCAAACAGG
rnacentral:rRNA from 1 species